rnacentral:rRNA from 1 species
UGGGGAAUAUUGGACAAUGGGCGAAAGCCUGAUCCAGCCAUGCCGCGUGUGUGAAGAAGGUCUUCGGAUUGUAAAGCACUUUAAGUUGGGAGGAAGGGCAGUAAGCGAAUACCUUGCUGUUUUGACGUUACCGACAGAAUAAGCACCGGCUAACUCUGUGCCAGCAGCCGCGGUAAUACAGAGGGUGCAAGCGUUAAUCGGAAUUACUGGGCGUAAAGCGCGCGUAGGUGGUUCGUUAAGUUGAAUGUGAAAGCCCCGGGCUCAACCUGGUAACUGCAUCCAAAACUGGCGAGCUAGAGUAGGGCAGAGGGUGGUAGAGUUUCCUGGGUAGCGGAGAAAUGCGUAGGUAUAAGAAGGAACACAAGAAGGGAAGGCGACCACCUGGGCUCAUACUGACACUGAGGUGCGAAAGCGUGGGGAGCAAACAGG